rnacentral:rRNA from 1 species
UGCAAGUCGAACGAACGAGCUUGCUCGUUAGUGGCAAACGGCUGAGUAACGCGUAGGUGACNUGCCCUGAAGUGGGGGAUAACGGGCCGAAAGGGUUGCUAAUACCGCAUGUGGCGACGUUUUCAUUGACGUCAUCAAAGCCGCGAGGCGCUUCAGGAGGGGCCUGCGUCCGAUUAGCUCGUUGGUGGGGUAAUGGCUCACCAAGGCGACGAUCGGUAGGUGGUCUGAGAGGACGAUCACCCAGACUGGGACUGAGACACGGCCCAGACUCCUACGGGAGGCAGCAGUCGGGAAUUUUGCUCAAUGGGCGAAAGCCUGAAGCAGCAACGCCGCGUGCGGGAUGAAGGCCUUCGGGUUGUAAACCGCUUUUACCAGGGACGAUGAUGACGGUACCUGAUGAAUAAGUCACGGCUAACUACGUGCCAGCAGCCGCGGUAAUACGUAGGUGACCAGCGUUGUCCGGAUUUACUGGGCGUAAAGAGCGCGCAGGCGGUCGUUCAAGUCGAGUGUGAAAGCCCCCGGCUCAACUGGGGAGGGUCACUCGAUACUGAUCGACUCGAAGGCAGGAGAGGGAAGCGGAAUUCCCGGUGUAGUGGUGAAAUGCGUAGAUAUCGGGAGGAACACCAGUGGCGAAGGCGGCUUCCUGGCCUGUUCUUGACGCUGAGGCGCGAAAGCUAGGGGAGCAAACGGGAUUAGAUACCCCGGUAGUCCUAGCCGUAAACGAUGGACACUAGGUGUUGGUGGUAUCAACCCCACCAGUGCCGAAGCUAACGCAUUAAGUGUCCCGCCUGGGGAGUACGGCCGCAAGGCUAAAACUCAAAG